rnacentral:rRNA from 1 species
GACGAACCACACGAACGUUAUUCGGAAUUACUGGGCUUAAAGGGUGCGUAGGCGGCGUGGUAAGUUGGGUGUGAAAUCCCUCGGCUCAACCGAGGAACUGCGCCCAAAACUACCAUGCUUGAGGAAGAUAGAGGUAAGCGGAACUUACGGUGGAGCGGUGAAAUGCGUUGAUAUCGUAAGGAACACCUGUGGCGAAAGCGGCUUACUGGGUCUUUUCUGACGCUGAUGCACGAAGGUCAGGGGAGCAAACGGG